AGUGAACGCUGGCGGCGUGCCUAAUACAUGCAAGUCGAACGGAGUGGCGCACGGGUGAGUAAUAUAUAGCUAAUCUGCCCCUUGCUGGAGGACAACAGUUAGAAAUGACUGCUAUUACUCCAUAGCAAGGGAUGAGACUAUAUCGUAUCAGCUAGUCGGUGGGGUAACGGCCUACCGAGGCUAUGACGCGUAACUGGUCUGAGCGGAUGAUCAGGAACAUGGGAACUGAGACACGGUCCAAACUCCUACGGGAGGGAGCAGGGGGGAAUAUUGCGCAAUGGGUGAAACACGGAGGGAGCAACGCCGCGGGGAGGAGGACACUUUUCGGAGCGUAAACUCCUAGUGUUAGGGGAGCGGUACCGAGCGAAUGAGCGGCGGCAAAGUCCGUGCCAGCGGCGGCGGUGAUAG
rnacentral:rRNA from 1 species